rnacentral:lncRNA from 1 species
AUAAAAUAAAAUAUUGUUUUUAUGUUAAAUAAAAAGAAAAGGAAUUCGAUUGGUACUGUUAAAUCAAUAAUAUAUGUGAGUGUAAUAUAAGUUUUAGGAAAUCAUUAAACAAAUAAAAAUACAAACGUACGAGUUGCAGAUCCUUUAAAACUCGAUAAAAAAAAAAGUUGAACGACGACGUGAAUUGUGGUUCAUGAUAUGUGUAAAUAAGGGACCUUACAUCCCAGCUCCUUUGUUCUAACAGGGGUGAUCUGAGAUCUGAGCAGGAUCACCCCUACCAGAUCGCCCAGUGUAUAUGCUGGGAUUCGAACUCAAAACCUUAAGCAUAUUAAGCCACGACACAUACCACUACACCAGGACGACUGGACACGAACUAUCAGUAAUUUAACAUACUUAAAGGAAGCAAGAUAAUUUUAUAAGUGGGGCGAUUGGCAGACCUUUAUUCAGUGGGGUUUAAACCCUUUUCGUUAAUAAGUGAGUUGUCAAACUGAUUGUUCAAUUUGAUUUUACACUUUUUCAAAAGUGUGGCGAGUCGGUAAACAAGAGUGGGGCGAUUUUUUUUUAAAAUGUGGCGAUAUAGUGUGGGCCGAUUGGCCAGUGGGGGCGAGUUGACAUUGUUUGAUAUCUACUCGUCGUGUUCGGGGGUCAUAAGGGGUAUACAUCAAACAGUAGUAUAUAAAGUAUAUUAUAAUAGUUGUGUGGCGUUCUAAACUAGAUUUUAUGAAUUGUAAAUGGUUUUUUGUCUAAUCUCAAACAGCUGGGAUGUACGAUAGUUAUCCCAUUCGGACUUGGUGUGUCAGUGUUAGAUCACCCUCUGGCCUCCGUCCAUCGGGGUGAUCUUACACUGACAUACCGCGUCCUCGUGGGACAACUAUUACAGAUUGACCAACACAUUAACACUUUUAAUGAUUGUGUCCAAAUAAUCACACGAUGGUAUAGGUGAAUAUUGCUUUAAAUAAAGCAUUAUUGUUUGAGUACUUAAUUCCGUAAAAAGAAACAGAUUAAGUUAAUAGACACUUUUAAAAAUCAAAACCCACUGUAUAUGGGGUCUUAAAAUGAUAAAUAUUGAAAACUACAUAAAAGGUUUAAAAUUAAUAUGGAUAUGAAGACUCAAUAGAAGUAAUUCAAAACUUGUGAAAAUAUUCCUCUUUUCAGAAAUUUUUUAACAUUUUUAGAAAUGCAAAUGCUUGGCACUUAUAAUGAGCUGAAAAAGAAAGAAGUAUGUGAUGCUUGGAAUGAUCGGCAAAAUAUACAAGAUAUCUCUCAAUUAAACACGUGAAAUAUAUGGACAAUGAUGCAACAAAUAUUAGUUAUCAAUCAGGUUUUUUUUUUAUAAAUCUUUGAUUAAAAGAGAGAUUUGGCUGAUAAUAACUUGUUGAAAAUAUUUAUAUGAAUAUAAUAUAUGUCACAAUAACGGUGCAGAUUUUGCCUCAGACAAAAAUAUGUUUAAAUCCCAGAGAGUUUCCAAAAGACAUGUACAUAAUUUUUAAUAGUGAAAAAUCAAAUAUCAUAAUGUAUAAAAGGAAAUGUGAACAAAAUGGUUUUUAAUUCUUAAUACAAACUCACUUGGACAAAUAUCCAUAUGAUUCCCUUUAUAUUACCAAAGAUUCGCUAUAACUGAUAAAAUUGACUUAAUAAUUCAGUUAAAAAAUUAUAUAUGACAGCACUCAAACAAUAUCUAAAAAUAAACAUUUUGAUAGAACUUUUUAGAUAAAAAUGAAAGAUUCAUAAGGGCAGAGAACUGGUGAAACCCUGGAAUCCUUUAGUGUCUUAAAACAAAGAUAAACAACAGACAUCAUAUAUAGUUACAAUAAGAAUUCUUUGUCGAAGCAAUCUUAGUCUAGCAAUUAUAUUCUGCAAUGUACCAAACUAUUUUUUUCUUAAAAUCUAUUUAUCUUGUGGCACAUUAAUCAAGCAGUUGAAAUAAAAAGGCAUAAUAAGCAUUCUAUGAACUAACACUUAGAAAUCUAAUUAAUAUAGUAAUAUUAAUAACAGUAGUGCAAGAAAUUUAUGAGCAUACAAAUGGUAUGGUAUAACAGUAUACAAAUAAUUUCAAAUACUCAUAUACACACAUGCAUAUACAUUUACCAUAUUUAAAUUUAGUUAAAGACCUUAGCCCAGGGGUUCUAGUAUAAGUUGUGUUCUUCCACAAUUAAAUAUUUUGAAGAAAUAUGUUUCUCUAAAAUCACGUUUUCUUUAAUGUAAUUUUGAAGAGCUUUUAUGUGAGAUUUUACGUCUUGCAUCUUACAUCUGUAAAUGAAUUACUUUGUCAGUAACAAACUAUUUCAGCUAUGUCUAUUUAGUAUGCUUUUUAUCUUCUGCUUAUAUUAUAUAUUAUUCACACAAAGAGUAUAACUUCUAUUAUGUUUAUUUUUAAAAAAAGGAAAUCAUUUUAAAAAGACAAUUCUGUAAACACUAUUUCUAAUGUUGAUUUGCACAUCAUUGAACAUUAGUCAACAUAUUUUGGUGAAGAAUAUACUCGAAAGAAAGCACUAAAUUGUAGAAUAGAUGAACAAUUCUUCAUGUUAAAUUGUACCUUAUCAUUUUAUUGUAUCUAUAAAGAGAAAGUAACAAAAAGUUCAAUUACCAAAACAAAGAACUAGCAUUUUUGACGUUGUUCAGAAG